GAGAGCGGCUGCACUUUCCUGUCCCCCCGCCGAGGAGAGCGGAGGAGCAGCGGCCAGUGGCCUGGCGAGUUUCCCCGGAGAGGAGCCGGAUUCCGGUGCAGGGACGGAGCGAGGAGUCAGAGAGUAGUGUGAAAAUGGAAGAGCAGGGGCCGAGAAGACCCAUUCAAAGGGAGAGACUGGAGUCCAAAGG